CCCAAGAGAUCGGGAUAACACCUGGAAACAGAUGCUAAUACCGGAUAACAACAGAUGAUGCCUAUCAACUGUUUAAAAGAUGGUUCUGCUAUCACUCUUGGAUGGACCUGCGGUGCAUUAGCUAGUUGGUAGGGUAACGGCCUACCAAGGCGAUUAUGCAUAGCCGAGUUGAGAGACUGAUCGGCCACAUUGGGACUGAGACACGGCCCAAACUCCUACGGGAGGCAGCGGAGGCAGCAGCC
rnacentral:rRNA from 1 species